GCGAGCGGAAACUCGCAGCCCAGCUAAGAAACUCCAAACUCUUAAGCCGCCUCAGCCCCAGCCCCCUUUUGAGAGCGCCUUCAAACACUCCACGUACAUCGCCUUGCAAUUCUUUGCCACAGCCCUGUGUGAAAACUUCCUACAAUCUGAGUGGUCCUAAAAUGUGCCCCUGGUGCAGAAGAUUACUCCCACCAGACAUUUGGAUAACUUUCGCUGAGAAACGUUCUAGCUCGUGACUAAGGGUGCAAGUCCUUUGGGCCCGUGGCUUGGGGACGUCUACCGAGGAUGUAAAUCUCUCAUGCUGGAUUGCCGGGAGCAACAGGUAGAGGACGAAGGUGACAAGGACUCCUAGGACCAGCAGCCCCAGCCUGUUGCGGAUCAAAGUCAUAGUCA